AGAGUUUGAUCCUGGCUCAGAGCGAACGCUGGCGGCAGGCCUAACACAUGCAAGUCGAGCGCCGUAGCAAUACGGAGCGGCAGACGGGAGAGUAACACGUGGGAACGUGCCCUUCAGUUCGGAACAACCCAGGGAAACUUGGGCUAAUACCGGAUACGUCCGUAAGGAGAAAGAUUUAUCGCUGAAGGAUCGGCCCGCGUCUGAUUAGCUUGUUGGUGAGGUAACGGCUCACCAAGGCGACGAUCAGUAGCUGGUCUGAGAGGAUGAUCAGCCUCACUGGGACUGAGACACGGCCCAGACUCCUACGGGAGGCAGCAGUGGGGAAUAUUGGACAAUGGGCGCAAGCCUGAUCCAGCCAUGCCGCGUGGGUGAUGAAGGCCUUAGGGUUGUAAAGCCCUUUCGGCGGGGAAGAUAAUGACGGUACCCGCAGAAGAAGCCCCGGCUAACUUCGUGCCAGCAGCCGCGGUAAUACGAAGGGGGCUAGCGUUGCUCGGAAUCAC
rnacentral:rRNA from 1 species